AUGAGGCUGCUGCUGCCCGUGCUCUGCCUGCUCUGCGCCGUCUCCUCCUGCGGAGCCCAAGUGUCCCAGAGCCCCGAGGUGCUGGUGACCCGCGAAGGGGACCGCUCCGCCAUGGUCUGUACUUACUCCACCACUUACAGGACUUUCCAGUGGUACCGGCAGGCCCCCUCGGGGGAGAUCACCCACCUCCUCACUGUAGCCGCCGACCAGAAUGUCACGGCGGGGCGGAUCACGGGGGAGAGGCUGGAGAGCGGCACGAGGAGCGCCCUGCGCCUGGUCCCGCACGGCCUGGCGGACUCGGGCCGGUACCUCUGUGCGGUGGGUGCACAGUGA